rnacentral:rRNA from 1 species
UACGCACUCCUACGGGAGGCAGCAGUGGGGAAUAUUGCACAAUGGGCGCAAGCCUGAUGCAGCCAUGCCGCGUGUAUGAAGAAGGCCUUCGGGUUAGUAAAGUUACUUUACAGCUAGUGAGGAAGGUGGGUAUGUUAAUAGCAUAUUCAUUUGACGUUAGCUGCAGAAGAAGCACCGGCUAACUCCGUGCCAGCAGCCGCGGUAAUACGGAGGGUGCGAGCGUUAAUCGGAAUUACUGGGCGUAAAGCGCAUGCAGGUGGUUUGUUAAGUCAGAUGUGAAAGCCCGGGGCUCAACCUCGGAAUUGCAUUUGAAACUGGCAAACUAGAGUACUGUAGAGGGGGUAGAAUUUCAGGUGUAGCGGUGAAAUGCGUAGAGAUCUGAAGGAAUACCGGUGGCGAAGGCGGCCCCCUGGACAGAUACUGACACUCAGAUGCGAAAGCGUGGGGAGCAAACAGGAUUAGAUACCCUGGUAG